UUCGAACUUGAAUCACAAGUGGAGUUUUAUUACAAGUACACCACAUAAGUAAAUACAUAAGCUUUGCAUGAAUAAUUUUUACGAUCUUGAUACAUAAUAUGUAUAGCAUUUACAUGGAAACAAAAGUAAAGAAAGGAUGGAAGUUUAUGUGUUUGUCUUGAGUUUUCAUUGACAAUCAUCAUUAUCCUUGUGAUUGAAUUCUCAAGCAUUUACACUGCCUUUGAAUUCCACAACCAUGAUGCAGCAGCUGAACCAAACAAUGCACUAAAAUCCUGCAUCAAACAUACAUGACCACAUGAACAAAAUACAUCCAACAUUCAAAAAACCAAAUGACCAAAAUAAAGCAUUACAUAUACACUUCCAUUCAUGACAUUUUCAAGCAUUCCCAAACAACUUCAAGUCCAAACAUUAACCAUCAAACAAAUCUAAUUGAUUGCAUUGACAGUUCACUUUUAACAAGAAUUCAACAACUUCAUAUUUCACUAACAUACAUGCAUUUGAACAUACAUGGCAUAACCUACUGAUGUUGCAUUAAAACUUGCAUUCACUAACUGCAAUUAACAACAUGUUUUAAGUCUAUUAAUAAUUCUCACCAAUUUCAUAAUAAUUAACAGAAUUUUCCUUAACUGACUUUUGUAACAGAGUUUUAACUAACAAGCUCAUUCACCAACAGAAAUCGAUUGCAACAUCUAUAACUCAUUGCAGAAUAGUAAAUCCUACAACAUCAAUACAAACCAAUAUCAUACCAUUUAUAUUCACAUAAAUACAAUAGCACUUCAUUUCACAAAUAGAGUAGCAGAUCAUUCAUCACAAUCCAACAUCAAGGCAAUGCAUACAAACUGGUGCAGUAGGGCACACUUCAACAAAUUACCGUUUUUCACUUGCAUCUAACAACUAACAUCACUAACAAAUUGAGUUUCAUCUAACAGACUGCAUUAACAUGAUUCACUAACAACAAUUCAGUUACCACUGCACUAAUAAAAUUUCAAAAUCUAACUGAAAUAAACAUUACUGAGCAUUUUCUAUCUAACAAGAUCAAGUUUCACUAAUUGAACUAGCAACUUAGCUUCACCAAAUUAGUUAACAUCUAACUGAACAUUUCAUUCCAUUUAACACCACUAACUGAAUCUAUUAUCUAACUAACCUUCAUUUUCCAACUAACAAAAACUAACAGAAUUCCACCACUACAGAAUCUAACAGAAAAUUGAAUUUCGCAUUUCACUCUCAUUAUCUAACUAACUAACUAACAGAGUUAGUUAACAUCCAACAAACUUUGGAUUGAAUCAAACUAACUCAGUUAACUACAUAGUUUGUUUCGAUUUAAGUAUUUUUUUCAAGGCUUAUGGAAAUUGGACUUUGGGUUUGAACUCAGGGAAGUGAGAGGAGGAAUUUGGUAUCUUAACUUUGUAGUUUAGGUCUCCGCUGCCACCGGUAGCGACCUCCGGCACGACGGAGGAGAUUGUUCAGGGGAGAGAGAGAAUGGAGAGUUCAAAUUUGAAAUGAUGCACGUGAG
rnacentral:lncRNA from 1 species